GGAGACUUGGUGUAGGUGGUUAUUGCACGGCAGUCUGAAAAACUGUAGGCUUGAGGUUCAAUUCCCAGAGUCUCCA
rnacentral:tRNA from 1 species